UACCUGGUUGAUUCUGCCAGUAGUCAUAUGCUUG
rnacentral:rRNA from 2 species